UGCCGGGAUAGCUCAGUUGG
rnacentral:tRNA from 4 species